UACAGAGGGCUCAAGCGUUGUUCGGAUUCAUUGGGCGUAAAGGGUGCGUAGGUGGCGGGGUAAGUCAGGUGUGAAAUCUCGGGGCUCAACCUCGAAACUGCACUUGAUACUGCCCUGCUCGAGUACUGGAGAGGAGAUUGGAAUUUACGGUGUAGCAGUGAAAUGCGUAGAUAUCGUAAGGAAGACCAGUGGCGAAGGCGAAUCUCUGGACAGUUACUGACACUGAGGCACGAAGGCCAGGGGAGCAAACGGG
rnacentral:rRNA from 1 species